UACGAAGGGGGGCUAGCGUUGCUCGGAAUCACUGGGCGUAAAGGGUGCGUAGGCGGGUCUUUAAGUCAGGGGUGAAAUCCUGGAGUUCAACUCCAGAACUGCCUUUGAUACUGAAGAUCUUGAGUUCGGGAGAGGUGAGUGGAACUGCGAGUGUAGAGGUGAAAUUCGUAGAUAUUCGCAAGAACACCAGUGGCGAAGGCGGCUCACUGGCCCGAUACUGACGCUGAGGCACGAAAGCGUGGGGAGCAAACAGG
rnacentral:rRNA from 1 species